UGGGGAGUAGCCAAGCGGUAAGGCAACGGACUUUGACUCCGUGACGCGCAGGUUCGAGUCCUGCCUCCCCAG
rnacentral:tRNA from 2 species